rnacentral:rRNA from 1 species
GAUGAACGCUGGCGGCGUGCCUAAUACAUGCAAGUCGAGCGAACAGACGAGGAGCUUGCUCCUUUGACGUUAGCGGCGGACGGGUGAGUAACACGUGGAUAACCUACCUAUAAGACUGGGAUAACUUCGGGAAACCGGAGCUAAUACCGGAUAAUAUAUUGAACCGCAUGGUUCAAUAGUGAAAGACGGUUUUGCUGUCACUUAUAGAUGGAUCCGCGCCGCAUUAGCUAGUUGGUAAGGUAACGGCUUACCAAGGCAACGAUGCGUAGCCGACCUGAGAGGGUGAUCGGCCACACUGGAACUGAGACACGGUCCAGACUCCUACGGGAGGCAGCAGUAGGGAAUCUUCCGCAAUGGGCGAAAGCCUGACGGAGCAACGCCGCGUGAGUGAUGAAGGUCUUCGGAUCGUAAAACUCUGUUAUUAGGGAAGAACAAAUGUGUAAGCAACUAUGCACGUCUUGACGGUACCUAAUCAGAAAGCCACGGCUAACUACGUG